GCGGACGGUAGAGUAAUUGCUAGGGAAACUAGCCUAGAUAGGAGGGGGAUAACUACUGGAAACGGUAGCUAAUACCGCAUAACGUCGCAAGACCGAAGAGGGGGACCUUCGGGCCUCUUGCCAUCAGAUGUGCCCAGAUGGGAUUAGCUAGUAGGUGGGGUAACGGCUCACCUAGGCGACGAUCCCUAGCUGGUCUGAGAGGAUGACCAGCACACUGGAACUGAGACACGGUCCAGACUCCUACGGGAGGCAGCAGUGGGGAAUUUUGGACAAUGGGGGCAACCUGAUCCAGCCAUGCCGCGUGCGGGAAGAAGGCCUUCGGGUUGUAAACCGUUUUGUCAGGGAAGAAAGGUCUGGCUAAUACCGGGACUAAUGACGGUACCUGAAGAAUAAGACCGGAUAAAUACGUGCCAAGAGCCGGGGUANACGUAGGGUGCAGGAGUAAUCGGGAAAUUACUGGGCGUAAAGCGUGGAGCAAGGAGGGUUAUUGGAAGAAAAAGGAAUUGGUGAAAAAAUCNCCCACCCAGGGGGGAUCNCACAAACCCUGGGGGANAAACCUGGACNAUAUUAAAGGAACACAUUGCGGCUAAGGGGANUAAA
rnacentral:rRNA from 1 species